rnacentral:rRNA from 1 species
UUGUAGUAAUACAAGGCAGACGGCUCAGUAACACGUAGUCAACCUACCCUAUGGACAAGAAUAAUCUCGGGAAACUGGGCAUAAUUCUUGAUAGAUCAUAAUGCCUGGAAUGGUUUAUGGUUAAAAUGAUUCGUCGCCAUAGGAUGGGACUGCGGCCUAUCAGCUUGUUGGUGAGGUAAUGGCCCACCAAGGCGAUUACAGGUACGGGCUCUGAGAGGAGAAGCCCGGAGAUGGGUACUGAGACACGGACCCAGGCCCUAUGGGGCGCAGCAGGCGAGAAAACUUUGCAAUGUGCGAAAGCACGACAAGGUUAAUCCGAGUGAUUUCUGCUAAAGAAAUCUUUUGCCAGUCAUAAAACCACUGGUGAAUAAGGGGUGGGCAAGUUCUGGUGUCAGCCGCCGCGGUAAAACCAGCACCUCAAGUGGUCAGGAUGAUUAUUGGGCCUAAAGCAUCCGUAGCCGGCUUUGUAAGUUUUCGGUUAAAUCCAUGUGCUCAACGCAUGGGCUGCCGAAAAUACUGCAUGGCUAGGGAGUGGGAGAGGUAGACGGUACUCAGUAGGAAGGGGUAAAAUCCUUUGAUCUAUUGAUGACCACCUGUGGCGAAGGCGGUCUACCAGAACACGUUCGACGGUGAGGGAUGAAAGCUGGGGGAACAAACCGGAUUAGAUACCCGGGUAGUCCCAGCUGUAAACGAUGCAGACUAGAUGAUGCAUUGGCAUAAUAGCCAUUGCAGUGUCUCAGGGAAGCCGUUAAGUCUGCCGCCUGGGAAGUACGUACGCAAGUAUGAAACUUAAAGGAAUUGGCGGGGGAGCACCACAAGGGGUGAAGCCUGCGGUUCAA